GCAGAAGAGGAGAGUGGAAUUCCACGUGUAGCGGUGAAAUGCGUAGAGAUGUGGAGGAACACCAGUGGCGAAGGCGACUCUCUGGUCUGUAACUGACGCUGAGGAGCGAAAGCGUGGGGAGCGAACAGGAUUAGAUACCCUGGUAGUCCACGCCGUAAACGAUGAGUGCUAAGUGUUAGGGGGUUUCCGCCCCUUAGUGCUGCAGCUAACGCAUUAAGCACUCCGCCUGGGGAGUACGGUCGCAAGACUGAAACUCAAAGGAAUUGACGGGGGCCCGCACAAGCGGUGGAGCAUGUGGUUUAAUUCGAAGCAACGCGAAGAACCUUACCAGGUCUUGACAUCCUCUGACAAUCCUAGAGAUAGGACGUCCCCUUCGGGGGCAGAGUGACAGGUGGUGCAUGGUUGUCGUCAGCUCGUGUCGUGAGAUGUUGGGUUAAGUCCCGCAACGAGCGCAACCCUUGAUCUUAGUUGCCAGCAUUCAGUUGGGCACUCUAAGGUGACUGCCGGUGACAAACCGGAGGAAGGUGGGGAUGACGUCAAAUCAUCAUGCCCCUUAUGACCUGGGCUACACACGUGCUACAAUGGACAGAACAAAGGGCAGCGAAACCGCGAGGUUAAGCCAAUCCCACAAAUCUGUUCUCAGUUCGGAUCGCAGUCUGCAACUCGACUGCGUGAAGCUGGAAUCGC
rnacentral:rRNA from 1 species